GACGUAGGGCGCAAGCGUUGUCCGGAUUUAUUGGGCGUAAAGAGCUCGUAGGCGGCUUGUUGCGUCGACUGUGAAAACCCACGGCUCAACCGUGUGGUCUGCAGUCGAUACGGGCAGGCUAGAGUUCGGUAGGGGAGACUGGAAUUCCUGGUGUAGCGGUGAAAUGCGUAGAUAUCGAGAGGAACACCUGAGGUGAAGACGGGUUGCUGGGCCGACACUGACGCUGACAGCGCGAAAGCCAGGGGAGCAAACGGG
rnacentral:rRNA from 1 species